GUACUCUUGAGGACAAUGCUGAGCCAGAGGAGCCAAGGCGCUGGGCUGAAUUAGGAAGGCCAACCAGGGUAAGAGCUGGCGAGGGAGCUCUCCUUCCCUCCCUCCGCCCCACUAUCAUCGAUCCUUACGAAGCUGGCUCAAAAUGCAUGGCAUUUCAACUCUCUGCAUUCAGUUCCAUUCUUCAUCUGCUUCAUCUCUUUCUGUACAUAGCACAGAGGUGUCAAGCAGCCUUCCCUGGCAUGGGGCCUUCCAGAUGUUCCCAUCAGCCCAGCUGACAUGGCCAAUAGUCAGGGAGGAUGGGAUUGUUACACUUAUUCACAAGAGUUGUAGUCUUGAAACAUCUGGAGGGCACCAGGUUGAGGACGGAAGUCUAUGUGUUGAAUGCUGUGGGUUUCUUUGCAAAUCUAAACUAGGUCCACUCCUCCCUCCCUCUCCCAAUCAUCAGCCUGACGGAUUUCUCUCCCUAACAUCUUCCUCAAAGCCUUCCCUUUCCCACUGUUCCAUUCUGCUUUAGUUCUCUGCCUCUCUCUCUCCAUCUCUUUGCCUCUAUCCGUCUACACAGUCUCCUCCUUUGCUUGGCUCCCCCUCACUUGGGUGUCUCCCACCGUCUUUGUCUUUUCUCUCUGCCCCUCUCCUUCUAGUCACACAGGGAAGGCUGUAGCUCAGUGGCAGAACAUCUGCUCUGCAUACAGGCGCAAUCGCCAGGAAGGGCUUGGAGAGACCCAUGCUUGCAACCUUGGGCAGCUGCUGCCAUCAGUAUAGACCAAUGUCCUUCAAGCUUGGGUCCCCAGAUGUUGUUGGGUUGCAAGCGCCACCAUCAGCUAAGGUGGCUGGGGAUGAUGGGAGUUGAGGUCCAACAACAUCUGGGGAUGCAAGGUGGAAGAACAUGGUACAAUACUGAGAUAGAUGGCCUAACACUCUAAUGUGGUGUAAGGCAGAUUCCUAUCUUCUUGCUCCAUAGGCACACCUAAGAUACCGCUGGCAUCUUCCUCACUGUAGCCUCAUGACUGCAUGGACCUAUCUAUGGACUGCAGAAUCAUGGAAUCUCUGAAUUGUAGAGCUGGAAGGGACUCUGAGGAUCAUCUAGUAGUCCAAUCUCCUGCAAGGCAGGAAUAUGCAGCUGCUCCAUACAGGGAUCAAACCUGCAACCUUGAUAUUAUCAGCACCACACUCUAACCAACUGAGCUAUCCAGGCUGACCUGAGAGUUCUAUCCAGAGUUAGUCCAGUGAGAACUUCAUUCGCCCAGGGUUGAGCCACCAGCUCCCUGAACAAAGGCUCUCCUAGCAGACCAAGAGACAAAACUAUGGACCACUCCAUGGAAUAACGAGGACGACAGGAGGUUGGAUGCAAGUGAGCUGUGCAGGAGCAAGCUGAAAGGCAAAUUCGUGGAGCCUCUUUUUAUUGGAUAAAAUACAGUUGGAAAAGAGGUAGUGAAACCACUCUGAACUUUUAACACAUUCCAUCUAAGCAUAUUUUAAACAUUAGCUAAUACACGUCAGCAGGUGCUUCCUGCAGAUGUUGCAAAAGUGGAUUGUGUCUGUGUUCCUUGUCAUGCUUCAGCCAAACAUUCUGUCUAGUAAACAGAUCUUAUGAAAGGACAAAAGAUCAGGGGGGAAAUCUUGUCUUCUAGCCAAGGGGCAGGAGUUCAAGGAGCGUGGGCACAAGGCUCCUUGGCACACUGUUGCAUGCUGGGUGCGAGGUGUGCCUCAGCACAAGCGGAGCGUUGCCUCCACACUCUUGUGUGGACUGGAUGGGCCAUUGGCUUGACCUGGCAGGGCUCUUCUUCUUAAGUUCUUGUUAAUUUUAUUUAUUGCAAGCGGCUUGGGUUUCCAUGCUUCAAUUGUCCCCCACCCAGACUAUCUCGGAGAUCUCAGAAUGCAGUGCAGGCUAAAGGUAAAGGUAAAGGUACCCCUGCCUGUACGGGCCAGUCAUGACCGACUCUAGAGUUGUGCGCUCAUCUCGCUCAGGAGGCCGUGAGCCGGCGCCGUCCGAAGACACUUCCGGGUCACGUGGCCAGCGUGACAAAGCUGCUCUGGCGAGCCAGCACCAGCGCAGCACACGGAAACGCCGUUUACCUUCCCACUAUAAAGCGGUACCUAUUUAUCUACUUGCACUUAAGAGUGCUUUCGAACUGCUAGGUGGGCAGGAGCUGGGACCAAACGAUGGGAGCUCACCCCUCCGCGGGGAUUCGAACUGCCGAACAUACGAUCGGCAAGUCUUAGGCACUGAGGUUUUACCCACAGCGCCACCCCUGUCGCAGUGCAGGCUACUCACAUUUUAAAGAAUUAAAAUGAUACCCGUAGCCCAAAUGCAAAACUAAGCUGGACACAAGGGAUCUGCUUCUCACUGAGACAGAGGUGAGGUAGUGUGAGGAACGUCUUGAGAAAGAAAGGGGCUGUGAAUGAUAGAAUUAAAGAGAUUAGCAGAGAUGAAAUAUUAUUCCAUUCAUGGGAUAUAGCACUUUUCGUGAUAUCCUGGUGUGUAUUUUGCUGUGCUUUGCUUUCCUCCCUGAAGUUUCUUACCGUCCCCCUUUUGAGACAUGUGCUCGGAAAUGAAUAGAAAAAACGUGUCAGAGGAAGGUAGCUUGAAAAUGCAGGUGGGGAGCAGAUUGAAUAUAUUUAUUACAGCUUUCUCCCUCAUUUUUUAAAAACAGCUUUAGUGGUUCUGUUACUUGAGUCUGCAGCUAAUGUGUAGUUAGGUCAAUAAUAAUCUUUCAAGGUGUUUUUCCCCCUGUAAACUAAAAGGAACCCAAACUCUUAGAUUUUCCUAGUCUAGAAGAGCUUCUUCUUUUUUUAAAAAAGGUUUUAUUGUUAAAAUAAUUCAGCAUUAAUACACACAUAUUGCGAAUAUACAAGCAUACAAACAUACAUUUCAUACAAUCCUUAAAAAUAUUCAAACAUACCUACACUCAAUCCCACAGAUAAUUCCUUUUCCCAUCACCAUCCACCACCCCUCACCCCACCUUUGUGUUAGACUUCCAGUCUACUCAACUGCAAUUUCUUUCCACUUCUGUUACUUUCUUUCACACACCUUUAACCUAAUUUCAUGCUUCCUUUUCUAUUACACAUUGUUAUCCAUCUUAUUUAGUAUUUCAGUAUUUAAGACGGAACUUGUUUAUUCUAAUAGGAGUUCUGAUUUUUCAAUAUGGUUUUGCAAGUAUCCUUUAAACACCUCCCAGUCCCUGUCUCUGUGGUAUUAUACCGACAAAAAUAGAGUGGCUUGCCAAAUUAUUGGAGUACUACAAUAUAUCCAAAACAAUGGGAGAAAUUGAAAGGAUCUCGAAAAAGAAGAUAGGGUCUAGAAGAGCUUCAGAUCCAGUAACUUUCUAACGAUGAAUUUGUGAUAUCUUGACCCAUUUGUGAUAUUAAGCCUCAAUCUGGAAGCACCUGCAAGAACAAGGAGAGGGGCUGAGCUACCGAUGCCUAAAAGAAACAGGGGAACAAUAAAACGGCAACUAAUGAUCACAAAAAAACGAGUUGGCUUUGUAGGUCAUCAGACCUCUAAAUGAGGCUGGAUGUUAAGGAAACCAAUACAAUAAAAGGUGGGGAAAGCAUAUCAUCCAGUGCCAUGAGAAGUGAAAAUUUCGCCCCAUUUCUUGUGACUGCUCAGUUCUGGGGUGGGGAAGACUUUUCACCCAAAGACAUAUUCCUUCUGGCAACCUUCUGAGGACCACUCAUCAGUGGGAGGGGCCAAGGGCAAAAGUGGGUGGAACAGCAAAUGUAAGCUUUGCUUUUCAUAUGUUAGGCUAGUUUCUACACACACACUACACACCCUACCCUCAAGCAAGAGACAGUAGCAGCAUUCAAGGGCAGAUUCCAGCCAGGGAGAAACACUUGGGGGGCAAAGCAGAGACAGUGGGGAGAAGUCUUAAGAGACCUGGAAGGCUGCCUUUCACUGCUGGGCAUGAGGCUUCCCAACCCUGGUUUAGUUGGUCAGAUGGGACUCAGCUUCAAAUAUAAUGUUUUAAGUGUGUUUUAAUUGCGUUAUACAAAUGUGACACUAGAUGGUGAUAGUGAGCUAAUGGGAAAUUCAAUAUAUAUUUUUAAAUGUUUUGGGUUGUUUUUUUUUAAAAAAAGAGCAUUUUCACAGCGUUUUUUAUAUAUGUCUAGAUUCAACCAUGGUCUCAUCUUACUCUUACCUCUGGAUCCACACCGCCCCCCCCCCCCGGUAAUGCACAAACAUAGCUAUCCUCAACUAUGUAUUAUGCACUAUAGCAGGGGUCAGCAAACUUUUUCAGUAGGAGGCCGGUCCUCUGUCCCUCAGAACUUGUGGGGGGUGGGACUAUAUGGGGGGGGGGUGAACAAAAUCCUAUGCCCCACAAAUAACCCAGAAAUGCAUUUUAAAUAAAAGGACACAUUCUACUCAUGUAAAAACACGGUGAUUCCCGGACCAUCCAUGGGCCAGAUUUAAAAGGCAAUUGGGUCGGAUCCAGCCCACGGGCCUUAGUUUGCCUAGCUAUGCACUAUAACAUGGACUUGACUUCUGUAACCCUUGAGGAUAUAGUUCAUCCCGUAGCUAUGGUCUGGGUAGGAAAACCAGUCAGAAGAGCUAAAGAAUCACCUCGGGGUCAUGUGUGGGGUUUCUCCCCACACAUUACUAUAGCAAGGUGUGAUGUAUUAAAGCAGAGGAAUCAUUGGCCCUGCAGAUGUUGCUGAACUAAAGCUCACAUCACCCUUAACUAUAGGCCAUGCUUGCAGAGGCUAACAGGAGCUGUAGCUUGGCAACAGCUAGAGGACCACAGUUAAGCCAUGUGGAAAUAAGAAUGUUUUCUUGUUGUAUUCAUGGUUUCUGGUUCAUAUUCAUAGAUUCAGCAGUUGUUUGACAGAGGUGGCACUUACUAGAGCUUGGACAUGGAAUAUGGUAGGGUUGCCGUACGUUGAAAUUUCCCAGACAUACACAGAAUCCUUCCAUCAGAAGUAGUAUCUGGGCAAAAUGUUUGGAAAACACAUGUCAGCAAUUUUGUUUUUGCCGAUUUCCCUUAAAAAUAGCUCAAAAAUGUCAAACAAAGCUCAACAACAUUGCCAAAAACGCAACCCUAGAAUAGAAUGUGGAAAUCUAUUUUCUUUUCAAGUACAGUGGUACCUCGGGUUAAGUAUUUAAUUCGUUCUGGAGGUUCGUUCUUAACCUGAAACUGUUCUUAACCUGAAGCACCACUUUAGCUAAUGGGGCCUCCCGCUGCUGCCACGCCACCGGAGCACGAUUUCUGUUCUCAUCCUGAAGCAAAGUUCUUAACCUGAAGCACUAUUUCUGGGUUAGCGGAGUCUGUAACCUGAAGCGUAUGUAACCUGAAGCGUAUGUAACCUGAGGUACCACUGUAUGGGAAUCUUGGGUGAUCAUAGGCUUAGAACGAUACCACUAAUCUUCUUCCGUCAGCUGUUUAUACUAGCUCAAUUUUUAACUUGUGUUUCACUGUUUUCCUUGUUUUCCUUUUUCCAGAUAAUGUACAGGAAAGCAGUAUGGGAAGAAGGUAACCACAGUUACCAAGGAGAAUUCAUUUUAUUGGGAGUGGCUGACCGUCCACGCUUGGAGAUGUUGCUCUUUGCAAUUCUCCUGCCCUGCUACAUGAUGGCCCUGCUGGGCAACACAACCAUCAUUGUGGUGUCGCGGCUGGACCCCCAUCUCCACACCCCCAUGUAUUUCUUCCUCAGCAACCUCUCCUUCCUUGAUCUUUGCUUCACCACCAGUGUGGGCCCUCAGAUGCUGUUAAACUUCUGGCGGAAAAGCAAGACCAUCAGUUACGGUGCCUGUGUGGCCCAGCUCUACAUCUUCCUUGCUCUGGGCUCCACAGAAUGUAUUCUUUUGGUUGUCAUGGCCUACGACCGCUAUGCUGCCAUUUGCCACCCGCUGCGCUAUGGUGCCCUUAUGAGCCAAUCCCUAUGCUUCAAAAUGGCUGCCGUCUCCUGGGUUAGUGGCCUUACCACCUCACUGGUGGAGACGGUGAUGACUCUUCGCCUCCCGCGGUGUGGAGAAAACCGGGUGGAUCACUUUUUCUGCGAGGUGCCAGCCUUAAUCAAGUUGGCCUGUGUUGACACCUCUCUCAAUGAGGCUGUGCUCUUUGCUUCCAGCGUAGUCUUCCUUGUAGUACCACUAGGCCUCAUUAUGGUCUCAUACGGCUACAUUGCAGUUGCCACACUGGCAAUCCGCUCAGCUGAGGGCAAGCGAAAGGCUUUAAACACCUGUGCCUCCCAUUUGAUUGUGGUGUCCCUCUUUUUUGGGACAACCAUUUUCACCUACCUCCAGCCCCCGUCCAACAGUGCCCAUGACAAAGCCAAGAUGGCCUCCCUUUUCUAUACAUUUGUUACCACUAUGCUCAAUCCACUCAUUUAUACCCUGAGGAACAAAGAGGUGCACAAAGCUCUAAGAAGACUGACGAAGAGAACUUAAGCCCAAUGCCUCCCAACUUCAUUCAGAGGCUCCACAAUAUAUUUUAAUAAUAAUAAAAACCCUUCAAUAAAAUCA